rnacentral:rRNA from 1 species
GGACGAACGCUGGCGGCGUGCUUAACACAUGCAAGUCGAGCGGUAAGGCCCUUUCGGGGGUACACGAGCGGCGAACGGGUGAGUAACACGUGGGUGACCUGCCCUUAGCUCUGGGAUAAGCCUGGGAAACUGGGUCUAAUACCGGAUAUGACUCCAUGACGCAUGUUGUGGGGUGGAAAGCCUUGUGCGGCUAGGGAUGGGCCCGCGGCCUAUCAGCUUGUUGGUGGGGUGAUGGCCUACCAAGGCGACGACGGUAGCCGGCCUGAGAGGGCGACCGGCCACACUGGGACUGAGACACGGCCCAGACUCCUACGGGAGGCAGCAGUGGGGAAUCUUGCGCAAUGGGCGAAAGCCUGACGCAGCGACGCCGCGU